rnacentral:rRNA from 1 species
UACGUAGGGUGCAAGCGUUUAAUCGGAAUUACUGGGCGUAAAGCGUGCGCAGGCGGUUGUGUAAGUCUGUCGUGAAAUCCCCGGGCUCAACCUGGGAAUUGCGAUGGAGACUGCACGGCUAGAGUGUGUCAGAGGGGGGUAGAAUUCCACGUGUAGCAGUGAAAUGCGUAGAUAUGUGGAGGAACACCGAUGGCGAAGGCAGCCCCCCUGGGAUAACACUGACGCUCAUGCACGAAAGCGUGGGGAGCAAACAGG